rnacentral:rRNA from 1 species
CCGACCUGAGAGGGUGACCGGCCACAUUGGGACUGAGACACGGCCCAAACUCCUACGGGAGGCAGCAGUGGGGAAUAUUGCACAAUGGGGGAAACCCUGAUACAGCCACGCCGCGUGAGCGAAGAAGUAUUUCGGUAUGUAAAGCUCUAUCAGCAGGGAAGAAGAAAUGACGGUACCUGACUAAGAAGCACCGGCUAAAUACGUGCCAGCAGCCGCGGUAAUACGUAUGGUGCAAGCGUUAUCCGGAUUUACUGGGUGUAAAGGGAGCGCAGGCGGUACGGCAAGUCUGAUGUGAAAUCCCGGGGCUCAACCCCGGUACUGCAUUGGAAACUGUCGGACUAGAGUGUCGGAGGGGUAAGUGGAAUUCCUAGUGUAGCGGUGAAAUGCGUAGAUAUUAGGAGGAACACCAGUGGCGAAGGCGGCUUACUGGACGAUUACUGACGCUGAGGCUCGAAAGCGUGGGGAGCAAACAGGAUUAGAUACCCUGGUAGUCCACGCCGUAAAC